rnacentral:tRNA from 1 species
AGAGUAUGAAAUUUCAAGAAUAGGCUUCUAACUUAAUUCUUAAGCGAUGAAAAUUCGUUUAUACUCUU